CUUAUAACUUAUAACCCUUACCCCUCUCUCUCUCUCCUCUCUCCUCUCUCCUCUCUCCUUCAAUUAAACUAGAUUGAUCAAUAUCACAUUUAUGCUGAUCGAUCAGCUGAAGAAUUUGGUCUCGAUUCAGUUUCAAAUUGUGGCUCAAAUCACAAUUACCAAUUUCUAGGUGAAGAAAUCGAGUUAAAGAGAGAAAGAGGGAUAAUCAAUCGCGGCAAAUGGAUCAAGUAGCUCACGGGCGCCCCCUCCCGCCGCCGUUCCACGCCCGAGAACUCCAGCUCCAGCACCAACAGUUCCAGCACGACGACGACAACAAGCAUUCCCUGAGCCUAAAGCGCGACCGCGACAACCCCGCCACCUCCGAAGGCAAAGACGCGGAGGUCUCCCGGCGGCCACGGGGGCGGCCGGCGGGGUCGAAGAACAAGCCGAAACCCCCCAUCAUCAUCACCCGCGACAGCGCCAACGCGCUCAGAUCCCACGUGAUGGAAAUCGCCAGCGGCUGCGACGUCCACGACAGCAUCUCCACCUUCGCCACGCGCCGCCAGAGGGGCGUGUGCAUCCUCAGCGGCACCGGCACCGUCACCAACGUCACCCUCCGCCAGCCCGCCGCGCCCACCUCCGUCCUCACCCUCCACGGCCGCUUCGAGAUCCUCUCCCUCUCCGGCUCCUUCCUCCCUCCCCCCGCCCCGCCCGCCGCCUCCUCCCUCGCCAUCUACCUCGCCGGCUCGCAGGGCCAGGUCGUCGGCGGCACCGUCGUCGGCCCCCUCCUCGCCUCCGGCCCCGUCGUCAUCAUGGCCGCCUCCUUCGGGAACGCCGCCUACGAGCGCCUCCCGCUCGAACAAGAGGAGGCGCCUGAAGGGCAGCAGCAGAUGAUGAGUGAUCCGAACGCGAAUCUGUUUCAAGGAAACCCUCAAAAUAUGGUGCAAAUGCCGCCGGCGGACGCGUUUUGGGCCACAGGGAUUAAUGCAGUCGCAGAUGCAGAUAAAAGUUUCCACCACCUCUAAACUGGUACAUAGUCAUAGCUGAGUAUGACCGCAAUUGUAAAGACAAAUAAAUGCAAGAAGGUGCAUGAUGCACAGUGAAAUGGUGGGAAGUUGAAAGGUGAGUUGCGGCAUUCACGAAUUUCUUCCCCAACUUGAUGCUUCUAUACUCUAUAGUGUUGCAGACACGGCAGUAAUAGAUUCAUUUAUGUCACACAUUGAUCGCAGUAGAAAUUGUCAACAAAGGAUAUAUGAGAGUGGCACUGUAGAUUUGUAGUCAAAAGCGGCAGAUGCUGACUGAUGUCGGCCGCAUAAGACAUCAAGCAUGACAUUACUGAAUUUUGCUGUUGAAUUUAUGGGUUUUUAUUACAAAACAAAACAAAAACUUUUGAUAAAACACCACCGACUCUGUUUAAAGGAAUCAUAAGGUUUCUGGAAGAGAAUUCAUCGUAUUAGGUUAUUCAAAUGGAGAAGAAUUACAUGCCUUUUUAUAGACUAUAUGAUCACCCAAUAUAUGGAGAUCAAUUCUUGAUUUGUGGAAAUCUUCCUUCCAACAGACUCUAAUAUGUUCUUCAUUUGAUCAUAGGAGUAGUUUAGAUGGUUUAAAAGUCUACUUCCAUUGCUUUGCCUGGAUGCUACGAUUCAUUUUAGAUUGAAACCCACAUCACAUGAUGCUAUUUUUUCUUUUUUAUCU